rnacentral:rRNA from 1 species
UUGCGCAAUGGGCGAAAGCCUGACGCAGCGACGCCGCGUGAGGGACGAAGGCCUUCGGGUUGUAAACCUCUUUCAGCAGGGACGAAGCGUGAGUGACGGUACCUGCAGAAGAAGCACCGGCCAACUACGUGCCAGCAGCCGCGGUAAUACGUAGGGUGCAAGCGUUGUCCGGAAUUAUUGGGCGUAAAGAGCUCGUAGGCGGUUUGUCGCGUCGACUGUGAAAACCCGAGGCUUAACCUCGGGCCUGCAGUCGAUACGGGCAGACUAGAGGUAUGCAGGGGAGAACGGAAUUCCUGGUGUAGCGGUGAAAUGCGCAGAUAUCAGGAGGAACACCGGUGGCGAAGGCGGGUCUCUGGGCCGAUACUGACGCUGAGGAGCGAAAGCGUGGGGAGCGAACAGGAUUAGAUACCCUGGUAGUCCACGCCGUAAACGUUGGGCGCUAGGUGUGGGGGUCAUUCCACGAGUUCCGUGCCGCAGCUAACGCAUUAAGCGCCCCGCCUGGGGAGUACGGCCGCAAGGCUAAAAUUCAWAGGAAUUGACGGGGGCCCGCACAAGCGGCGGAGCAUGCGGCUUAAUUCGACGCAACGCGAAGAACCUUACCAAGGCUUGACAUACGCUGAAAUCCUCCAGAGAUGGGGGGUCCGUAAGGGCAGUGUACAGGUGGUGCAUGGUUGUCGUCAGCUCGUGUCGUGAGAUGUUGGGUUAAGUCCCGCAACGAGCGCAACCMUCGUUCUAUGUUGCCAGCGGGUUAUGCCGGGGACUCAUAGGAGACUGCCGGGGUCAACUCGGAGGAAGGUGGGGAUGACGUCAAAUCAUCAUGCCCCUUAUGUCCAGGGCUGCACGCAUGCUACAAUGGCCAGUACAAAGGGCUGCGAUUCCGUAAGGUUGAGCGAAUCCCAAAAAGCUGGUCUCAGUUCGGAUUGGGGUCUGCAACUCGACCCCAUGAAGUCGGAGUCGCU